GACUCUCAGCAACGGAUAUCUUGGCUCUCGCCAUGAUGAAUAAUGUAGCAAAAUGUGAUACUUAUUAUGAAUUGUAGAAUCUUGUGAAUCAUCGAGUCUUUGAAUGCAAGUUGUGCUUGAGGCCUCGGUUGAGGGCACGUCUGCUUGGGUGUCG